rnacentral:rRNA from 1 species
AAUGAACGCUGGCGGCGUGCUUAACACAUGCAAGUCGCACGAGAACGUUUCAGCUUGCUGAGAUUAGUAAAGUGGCGCACGGGUGAGUAACGCGUGGGUAAUCUACCUCCGAAUUGGGGAUAACAUUGCGAAAGCGGUGCUAAUACCGGAUAAUAUCAAUAAAACCCUGGUUUUAUUGAUCAAAGGUGGCCUCUACAUGUAAGCUACCGUUUGGAGAUGAGCCCGCGUACCAUUAGCUAGUUGGUAGGGUAAUGGCCUACCAAGGCUUCGAUGGUUAGCUGGUCUGAGAGGAUGAUCAGCCACACUGGAACUGACACACGGUCCAGACACCUACGGGUGGCAG